UUUCUAUGAGGCAUUCAUAAUAGCAGAACAGGCACAAAGUAAUAAUAAAAUGUACAAGCAUUCUUAAUAACGAAAUUUCUUUAGUAGAGAAAUAUGUCUGGUGUAUUCCAUAAGAGAAGUUAUAAACAAGAAUUCUGUCUGAAGAGAAGUGUUUGUCAAGUGAAGCCACCAAAGCUAUGACUGUGGUAGGUCUUCUGGUAGAAUAUCAUUGAAAUAUUCUUGGUAUUCUUUCUUUUUAGGAUUUCCAGGCCUUCUGAUAUUUUUGUCUUAUGAGUAUUAUAUACUAGCCUCAUUGCUUUAGUAUUGUGCCAUUCUGUCUCUUUUCAUAAUCUUGCCACAAGGGCCAUAGUAACCCUACUUAAGUGUCUGUCUUCCUUGUCCAAAUGUUCCUUGCCAUAAUGGUCUUUAUCAUUCAGAAUGUUAAAUAUUGUAGGAUUUCUUCUAUAACCUAAUUUUCAUUCUUUUCAAGUUAGGUAAGGAGUUGUCAUACAGUAUAGUAGACCACACAUGCCCAAUACCCAUAGGGUUAUAGAUGACAGCUAGUAGCAGUCUGGCAUAGCACAAAGAAUCUUUUUCAUAUAUUUUUAGGUAGAUAUUAUACAUAAAGUUAUAAAUAUAGUUGUGUUUAUACCCAAACUACAAAAUAUUCAUCUGUAAUGCAGAAUAGUUGUGGUUGGUAAAUAUCCUUAUAAAAAGUGCUCUAAAGACAGAUUUCUUAUAAACAAGGAGUUGCAAGACCAUUCCAGUAUGAAAAUUGGCACAUUGGAUAGUUAAUGGUAGAUGGCUACAUGAUAUUUUAAACUAGAAAAGCUAUAUCAAUAUACCAGAAAAUGGAUAUGCUCUGUAAAUUGAUUGAUCUAGGGAGAUAGACAAAUUAAGAGAUUCACUUUUAAGAAAUUUGUUAAAUGCUGCACAUCAUGGUCCUCCAUCCCAUAAUAUAUGUCAUCUACAUACCUGCAAAAGAGCUUAAUCAAGCUGCUAAAGUGUGGUAAUACCUACUCCUCUUUGUACAUAAUAUCAGAUCAGCUAUGAGUUUCAUUAAAGAGAUUCUAAUGGUACAAUUCUUGACUGUUGACCUCUUAAAAAACUUUGCAGUCACUGACUUUAUUAUAGUCAUAUCAAUAAACUACAAUAUAAGUCUUACAACUGUAUUAGUCUAUUGGUAUUUAAAUCUAAAUCAAGUAUGCCAAAUAUCAAUAGACUGUAAUAAAGUUGAGAAAAAGAACUUUACAGUGGAGACACAAAAAGAUGCUUAGAAGACAGAAUUAAACUGUUUUGGUUCCUUAAACAUAUAUAUGUAAUUUGAAUUUGUUCUAUAGGCGAAC
rnacentral:lncRNA from 1 species